GUGUCCCUUUCCCCUUAGUGAAUAUGUUUUGGUGGCACAUAUACUAAAGCCAGAAUAAUACAGAAAAAAUAAGCAUGACCCAUGCACAAGAAUGACAUGUGAAUUCCUGAAGUUUUUCACAAUUUA
ensembl:snRNA U6 U6 spliceosomal RNA